UCUGGGGAUUCUGGCUCCAGCUCUUUCCCUUCUGGUGUUUCCCCCACACUCUUCAAUGUUCAUAGUAUCCAGGUUUCAUUGUUCUGCGUCCCCGGCCAGAAGGAUUUUGGGAUUUCCCAUGUGUAUUCCCUGCCACUGCUGUUUGCCCAAAGGACUAGCAUAGCUCCUCAAAGAUGGUAAUUAUUUGUACCACCUUCUGCCUUCCUCCUCCUGUAUGGGGGCCUCUCACUGCUGUGGCCUCUCCCGUUGCGGAGCAUAGGCCCCGGACACGCAAGCCCAGCGGCCAUGGCUCACGGGCCCAGCCGCUCCGCGGCAUGUGGGAUCCUCCCAGACCGGGGCACGAACCCGCAUCCCCUGCAUCAGCAGGUGGACUCUCAACCACUGCGCCACCAGGGAAGCCCAACAUGACUUAUUGAUCACAUGGACUUCGCCAUCAUGGGUUAGGCUCUGACUGAGGCACAGUGAGAGGAUUUGAAAUUUAUUCAAAAAAAUGUGUAUUGAAUAUUAUGCAUCUACUAUGCCUCAGGUCUUCUUCUAGGCACCCUGGUAGACCGAACAAAACUCAACUCCCUCAGAGCUCAUAGUCCAUUGGUUGCAAAAAAUGUGUAAAAAAUGCAUAAACAAUGUUACAAUUUACUUUAAGAGUCAAGUUACGAAAACUUGAAACUUAAAAAAAAAUAGCAAAGAACAGAAAAUUUAAAUAAAGGUCUAAGGUAGCAAUUACAAAGAUGUCCUAAGGGAGUAGAUAAUGAAUUGCCAAGUGUAUGUUAUAAACAUGUGUCCUAGAUGUUUUUAAGUCAGGGAAGUCAGUUUAUAUAUGCUAUAUAAAUAAUAAAUAUGUUUAUGAGACGUUUUCCGCAAACUAACUUCACUCCAAAUUCAUGUGCUGAACGACCAUGGAGUAUGCUAUGUCAUCAUGCACAAAAAAAGGAUGGCUGCCUGGAGCACAGGGUCAGCAAUGAGUCUUUUUUGGACACCUAAUAAACAUCGAUGAUGUACACUGCUUUAUUGUGAUAGACAAUUUAAAUACACACACACACACACAAUUUCCAAAGAUUUAGGAAGUAUGAUUUCCAGACUUUGAAAUCAAGCUGAAGGUCUAUAAGGUAAGAUAAAACCCAAUCCUUAAUGUGGUAUUGGUCUCUUGCUGCACUUCAAAACCAAGUAAUCAAAACAAAGGAAUAUAUAUGUAUGUGUAUAUAUAUAUAUAUAUAUAUAUAUAUAUAUAUAUAUAUACACUAGA